rnacentral:rRNA from 1 species
AUCUCGACGGAGAGUUUGAUCCUGGCUCAGGACGAACGCUGGCGGCGUGCCUAACACAUGCAAGUCGAGCGGGAUCCAUCCGGUAGCAAUACUGGUGAAGAUCUAGCGGCGAACGGGUGAGUAACACGUGAGAAACCUGCCCCGAACUUUGGGAUAACACGAGGAAACUCGUGCUAAUACCGAAUACCUCCAUCUGGUCGCAUGGCCGGAUGAAGAAAGAUUUAUCGGUUCGGGAGGGUCUCGCGGCCUAUCAGCUAGUUGGCGGGGUAACGGCCCACCAAGGCAUCGACGGGUA